rnacentral:rRNA from 1 species
UUGGAGGGCAAGUCUGGUGCCAGCAGCCGCGGUAAUUCCAGCUCCAAUAGCGUAUAUUAAAGUUGUUGCAGUUAAAAAGCUCGUAGUUGAAUUUCGGGGUUAGUAGGUUGGUCAUGCCACUGGUAUGUACUGGUCUCACUGAUUCCUCCUUCCUGAUGAGACGUAAUGCCAUUAAUUUGGUGUUGCGAGGAAUCUGGACUGUUACUUUGAAAAAAUUAGAGUGUUUAAAGCAGGCUAACGCUUGAAUACAUUAGCAUGGAAUAAUGAAAUAGGACGUUCGAUCUUAUUUUGUUGGUUUCUAGGAUUGACGUAAUGAUUAAUAGGGAUAGUUGGGGGCAUUAGUAUUCAAUUGUCAGAGGUGAAAUUCUUGGAUUUAUUGAAGACUAACUACUGCGAAAGCAUUUGCCAAGGAUGUUUUCAUUAAUCAAGAACGAAAGUUAGGGGAUCGAAGACGAUCAGAUACCGUCGUAGUCUUAACCAUAAACUAUGCCGACUAGGGAUCGGAUGAUGUUAAUUUUUUAAUGACUCAUUCGGCGCCUUACGGGAAAC